rnacentral:rRNA from 1 species
CAGGCGGUAAGUAAACAAGCUCAACGACAUUAGAUGGCGUAAGGUAUCGCGGACUAUUAGACUAUACGUCUGCAUUUUAAGGGUGUUUAACUCAAGCAGGCAUCGCCGAGUUGCUGUGGAGGGGCGAGGAGGGACCGCCGCUAGUCGGAGGCCGGUGUCCUCUACCCGUGGCGGCGUUUCGGGGGAGGGAAGCAGACGAAGUUCACCGGAACCCCGGGAUCGGAAUUACCCUCGGGAUCGCGGUCGGGUUCGGGGACGCCGCUGGAGCUCGCGGGGACCGAGAAGUUCAGAUAGAGGUGGCAGCGCGUUCCGGAGCGGUAGCGGCCACUGUAGGGGAGGCGAAGGUGACCUUCGCCUCCAGUACCCCGCUCCAACACCUUCGCAGUGGGCCCGUGGCGCGGCUACCUCCGCCUGGCGCCCCUGCGCCUCGUCGCCCGCGACCGCCGCCGCGACCACUCGCGCUCCCGCUGGUGCCACGACCUCAAGAUGAGCGGCGCGACGGCGGAGACGAGUAGCGACGUUCCGGAGCACGCGCUCGAGCUCCUACCACCGUUACGUAGACGCUCGAAACACGAGCGGCUGCGGCUUCUGCUGGCCACCGAGGGCCUCGAAGACGUAAUACUACAGUCUAUACAAGGAACAAAACACGAGGACCUGUUCUUACCAUCUCGGGAUCGCUUUUGGCCUCAAGGUUGAUCGUCCGUCGUACAAUAGCGACCGGAAGUAGUAGAAGAAUUGUACUUCGUUGGUAGACCCGUCAUGCCUUUCUUCUCAACUAGAACUACUGUUAAAGAACGCGUACUAGACAUUAGUACCUAGCAUGGCAAGGAUUUAUGAGGGAGGCAGGCCUUUAUGAGCAGUAACUUUACUUACAUAGAUCUACAUAAAAUCAACAUCUAUGUAGGUAAAAGUAGUAAAACUACUGCUCAUAAAGGCCUGCCUCCCUCAUAUUCAGAAAGAUCUCUAAAGUGAUACCUGAUGUAUGCCUACAUACAUCUGCAUCAAAUCUCACAUUUAAGUGAGUAAAACGAAGCAUACAUCAGAGAAUAACCUUAGGGAUUUUUCUGGAUAUAAAUCCUUGUCUCCCUCAUAGUCUAUUGUGUAAAACAAACAAUUGGUUCGUAUCUGUUACAACCUUUUAUAUAAAAAUCGGUUGAGUAUAUACCAGUCUUAAGAUCUUCAACUAGACCACAAUAAUCUUACACCCUCUAACACGACGAAAACACUGGAAAAAGGACUACUUAUC